ACCCUUAGACUAUUUAUCAACCUCUUAUUUUAGAUACAGGGUUUCAAUUGUUUCAAAAAUGUGUGAGCCCUUCUGUACCUGGCUGAAAUCAAGCAAUGACAAAGAUAAAUAAAUAUUUCUAUAAAUUUAUUAAGAAUUAAAACAAAGUCAAAACGCGCUCUUUAUCCUGGUCCCUUCAAUGGUGCUGCUAUUCAAAGGUCGUUGACUCGAAGAAGGUACGCAAAUGGGGAGGGUGGAGACCUCUAAUAUUCUCUAGGUAUUAUAAAUAGGGGAAGGUGUAGACCUUAGAUAUUCUCAAGGUGCUAAACAUAGGGGAAGGUGCAGACCUCAGAUACUCUAUAGGUACAAGAUACUAUAGAAGGUACUAAUCAAAUUCAAAGGGGCUGGGCACCUUCUAUAUAAACAACAAUCAACAAGGUGAGGUCAAAUCAAUAACUAAUUAUCUCCGGGGAAGGUGCUGGUAAAUCCCUGGGGAAGGUGCAGUAAACUAAGGGGAAGGUGAUGAUGGUGCAGAAGGUGAUGUUGAUCUAAUAAAUACUUUUCAUGAAUGAAACCCUGUCUUAAUUAUGUUGAACUUACCUAAAAGGUGUUAAAUAUGCACCUUCUGACUGGGGAUGUCGGGCUGAAAAAGCAACUGCUGCUGACUCAUCUUGGUGAUGCGACCGAAGUGCCGAUUUCGGAUCGGGCUCGGCCUUAUAUAAAAUAAUGUCACGUGACUUCCUCUUAUUAAUAUUCAUGAACGGAAAUAGUCUGCAAUUGAACGCAUGGGAUGUGAAAAGAAAGACGAAACGCCAUCUUUACAUCGACAGAGAAUACUUGAGUAGCAUUAGAAGAAAAGGAUGAACAAGUAACAACUUCAUGUGAAUAUUCAAGGUGAUGAUCUACAGCAAGCGCUAUCUCGAUCAGCUCGUGCAACAGCAGACAUGCAGGCAGCGAUAUCGUCGGCGUCGACUUGCUGAUACUUGAUGAGAAUACAGGGAAGAAGUUGAAGGUGUCGAAGAUCAAAGUACUUCGCUUCAAGGGUCAAUAGUUGCAGAGUGGAUAAGUCAGCUGGCAAACAGUCAAUGUUGAAAGUUCCAUGAUUUCUAAGGUUAAGUGGUGUCGGUUUAUAGACUGGUGCUGUAGAUGGUAUAGGAGUUGGAGUAUAGGAAUCUGAAUCGUGGGAUAUGGCGCCAAGUUGAGCUUCGGACAGAGAGGCUGAAUUGGAAUUGACCUUUACAACGGGAGGAAAAAGAUCUUUAGGAAAACCCAUGGUAGCGACUUCUUUGAACGCCUCCUGCAACUCAUCCUCGGGAAACUCCUCAGCAAAUAGAGAUAAACCAUCUGAGGAUGGUUGUGGUGAGUUUCUAGUUGGAAGGGUUGGAGGAAUGCUGUCUGAUGAGGUUGCUGGCUUAUGCUGCGGAGGUUUAGAUGUUAUGAUGGUUUCGUUUUUCUGUUGAUUCUCCUUAGUAGAUUCUAUUAGUGGGGACGUGACGUUUUUCUGUGGAUUUGUUUUCUGCUGCUUAACUGAAUUUUCUUGGUUUGGUUUUCUCUUGUGGUCUGAAUGGGAUCUUUUUCGAUUGUUUUAAUUGAGUUUCUUUCCUUCCUUGUGGCGUUCGUUCCUGUUGGAUUGUAGAGAUCUUCAUCUGACUGCCUAAAUUCUUCAUAAAUUUGCGAUGUUCUUCGCUUCUUCUGCUGUUAGAGUUCUUGUUGUCCGCUUCUUGAACUUUAUCCCCCCCCCCCCCCUACACAUUUUCCUUGGUGAUUAUCUUGACGAUUGUAGAUUUUUCCACAGACGGAGCACUGAUAUCCAAACCCUGAGUGCUUUUCAAAUAGGUGGCGCUCACAUAAAGACCUCCUCUCGAAGCUGAUACCUGGGCACUGAUUGCACUCAUAUAUUGUGACCUACAAAGUAAGGAAACAAUAAUUUAUAAGAUAUCGUAUGCACCAUUAUUAGUGAAUUCUCUAGUUGCAGAUCUAGAGCUGCAGAUCUGCUCUAGGUGUUGCUGAUAUUGUGGGGUAAUGGUGUUUAUUGGUUACUAUGGUGAUGUGUUGAAAUUCUACUUGGUGUUGUUAGUGCAUGUAUAUGGUUUGAGGCGGUCAUGAUGUACUAUCUUUGGUUUUGAGUUUUUAUUCUUUUGAAUUUUAAAAAUCACAUCAUUCAGCUUUUGAAUGAUUGAGUAGGGAACCUCCCAUUUGGACUGAAGUAUUGGGCAGAGGCCCUUAGACCUUUUGGGGUUGAAUAGCCACACUAAGUCACCAUAUUCAAGUUGUAGUAUGUUUAACUGUUUGUCGUAGCGCCUUUUCAUAUUAUCAGAAGACAGCUGAAGGUUCUCUCUUGCAAACUGAUGAAUUUUCUCUAUUCUACAUGUAUUUUGUAGCUGAAAGGCAUAUUCUUCACUACAGUCAGGAAGAUCUAUAUUUGUUGUAGGACUACCAAACACUAAUUCUAUGGGUAAUGUAACCUGUCGACCAAACAUCAUUUCAUUGGGGGUGACUUUAGUCGUCUCGUGAACGGAUGACCUAUAUGCUAACAUUAAUAAAUAUAUACGUUCGUCCCAGUCCUUUUGAUUUUCAGAGACAAAUGCAGAUAACAUAUGAUUUAUGGUUCGAUUUCCUCUUUCGACCAUACCAUCGGAUUGGGGAUGAAGGGGGGUUGUUCUAGUUUUCUGGAUUCCUAGUAAGUUGCAUAUUUGUUUGAAGACUGUAGACUCAAAGUUUGACCCUUGGUCAAUAUGAAGUUGUAAAGGUGUACCAAAUAUGGAUACUAUUCUGUCAACAAAAGCUUUGGCUAUUGUUAUAGCUUCUUGAUCUUUAACAGGAAUGGCAUCUAGCCACUUUGUGAAAUAAUCUCCAAUUACUAAGAGAUAUUUAUUUCCUCUACUAGUUCUGGGGAA